UUCCAUUGUCAUUCAGGGCUGAAUACUGCAUUGCUGUUGACACAUCCCUGGCCUUUAUGCAGCAGAUAGUAGUGGCAGCACCGCCACCGACUGCAACAACCACAAAUAUCUCCAGAUAUUGCCCACAGUUCCCUGGAGAUAAAACCUUCUUCAGAUCUCCCAGUGGAAUGUGAACUAUAAGACAACCUAGAGGAGGGUUGUGCUGCUACACGGAAGAAACCUGGCACCCUGAGUCACUCUGUGAAAUGCUGCUUACUGAUCAGCAACACACGUGGAUAUCUUAUACAAGUAAGAGAGAAACUGUGUAGUGUUAAGAUGACUCAAAUGUAUAGAUUGCUAUUUUACAGCCACUGUUGCCCUAACUAAUCAAACAACUCUUCUAGUUCAACAGUGCUAGGAGCAAGGUGAGUCCUAAAUUGAGAAUAGGUGGAAUAAGCUAAAAUCGACAUAGUGAGCGCUCAAUUGAAACAUUUUUAAAAAGCAUGUCCUUGCUUUUGUGAAUAGUUCCACUAUGAAAAUAUGAGCACAAGUGUCGUUUUGGUAGAACAAUGUAUUUCCCUUUGGAUAUAUAUCUAGUAAUGAGAUUGCUGGGCUGAAUGUUAGUUCUGUUUUGAGAAAUCUCCAACUUGCUGUCUACAGUGGCUUUUGUCUUUUAAA
rnacentral:lncRNA from 1 species